rnacentral:lncRNA from 1 species
UUAGGUUAGGAGAGUUUUAUUGGAAAUAAGAAGAACAAAUCCUGGAUUUCCCUCAAUCCAGAGCUGCAUACAGAUAAGCACAGCACAGGGGUGGAGAAACUACCAUACAGAAAAGAAAAGUAGGGCCAGGGAUUCAGCUCAGUGGUUCUGCCGCCUACCUUGUAAGCACAAGGACCUGAGUUUGAUCCUUGAAACCAAAACCAACCAACCAAACAGAAAAGAAAAGUGUCUUGCCACAAACACAAAACAAGUUGGCUUCCAACAGACCUCAGAUGGACAGCUUGGCUGACCAGCUCCUUUGACAGUAAGAGGCGCUUUCACCUUAGCAGAUGCUAAAUUCCACCUCAGCGUGGUCGGUCAGGCCCAGGAGGUAUCUGCUGCUCGGAGGAGGCGGGGGAAGUCCAAAGAAGCUCGGAAUAGAUCUGGUGAGGACAAUGGUUGGCCUGAAUUAACUGAGACAGAUGUGAUGCGAAGACCGUGUUUUCAUGGAGAGCAAAGGCAGCCCAUAGGCAUGACAGGGAGGAGUUGGGGGCAUAGGCAGCCCCACAGGCACAGUUACGGACACUGGCAGAAAGGGCAGAAAGAUUUCUGUGCCAGCUAUGGCUCGAGGUGAGUAACCUUAACAUUUCUUUUUCUUUUUUUUUUUUUUUUUUUUGAGACAGGGUCUCACUAUGUAGUUGAGUCGGACCUGGAGC